rnacentral:misc_RNA from 1 species
AAGUCGUAACAAGGUUUCCGUAGGUGAACCUGCGGAAGGAUCAUUAUUGAAUAUUCUUGAUGGGUUGUAGCUGGCUCUUUGGAGCAUGUGCACACCUGUCUUGAUUUAAUUCAUCCACCUGUGCACCUUUUGUAGUCUUGGGGGUUAAGCAGUCAACUAUCGGAUGUCAUCCGGAUGUGAGGAAUGCUGAGUGCGAAAGCAUACAGCUUUUCUCAAACUGACUUGUGGUCCCUCAAGUACUAUGUAUUCAUAUACCACUAGUAUGUUGCAGAAUGUGAUCAAUGGGCUUAUGCCUAUAAUAAUCAUAUACAACUUUCAGCAACGGAUCUCUUGGCUCUC